GUAGCAAUCCACAGUUCAUUCUUGGGGGAGCCAACAGGACAGAUAUCUGCCAAGGAGACCUGGGAGACUGUUGGCUGCUGGCUGCCAUUGCUUGCCUGACCCUUAAUGAUAUAGUUCUGAAGAGGGUGGUUCCUCAUGACCAGAGCUUCACUGAAAACUAUGCUGGCAUUUUCCAUUUCCAGUUCUGGCGCUAUGGGGAGUGGGUGG